AAAGUCGUAACAAGGUUUCCGUAGGUGAACCUGCGGAAGGAUCAUUACAGAGACAGUGCCCAAAGGGUACAUCUCCCACCCUGUGAAUACCUACCUUGUUGCUUCGGCAGUGCCUGUCAGGUAACUGCAGCCUGCCAGAAGGCCUCUCAACUCUUGUAAUAUGUUGUCUGAGUCUAGAAGAAUAAAUAAAACUUUCAACAACGGAUCUCUUGGUUCUG
rnacentral:misc_RNA from 1 species